rnacentral:tRNA from 1 species
AGUUAAUAAGUUUUAUAGAAACAUAUAUCUUGAAAAUAUAAAAAAGAAUUAAACGAUUCUAUUAACUU